rnacentral:misc_RNA from 1 species
CCGAGUGAGGGCCUCCGGGCCCGACCUCCAACCCUUUGUGAACACACCCGUUGCUUCGGGGGCGACCCUGCCGUUUCGACGGCGAGCGCCCCCGGAGGUCUUCCAACACUGCAUCUUUGCGUCGGAGUUUAAGGAAAUGUAACA